rnacentral:rRNA from 1 species
CUCGUAGGCGGGACUGCGCGUCUUGGAGUAAAUCUAUCUGCUCAACGGAUAGCUCAUCUGAGAUACGGCAGUUCUUGAGGACAGGAGAGGAAAGCAGAAUUCCGGGUGUAGCGGUGAAAUGCGUAGAUAUCCGGAGGAAUACCAGUGGCGAAGGCGGCUUUCUGGCCUGAUUCUGACGCUGAGGAGCGAAAGCCAGGGGAGCGAACGGGAUUAGAUACCCCGGUAGUCCUGUUGCUGUAAACGAUGGAUACUAGGUGUAGGAGGUUUCAACCCCUUCUGUGCCGCAGCCAACGCAAUAAGUAUCCCGCCUGGGAAGUACGGCCGCAAGGUUGAA